AUGCGAACAUCCGCCUCCCGCGCAUUCCGCGGGCGCCCCUGUUUUCCUCUCGGCGUCCCGGGCGGGGAUCGGACACGCCGCCCGGCUCGCCCGCACCUGCCGCGGCCGCGGCUCGGCCUGCGCGGGGACGGACGUGCGGCUGCAGGCGGGCGGCGCGCGCUAGGACCCGGCGGGCCCGCACCCGUGGAGCCGCCGACCCGGGCGGGCGCCGGGCUGGAGCCGGGUUCCGGCCGCGAUCGGCGGCAGCUCGGCCCGGAGACGGCGCGGCCCGGCGGCGGGGCCCCCGCGAGUCCAGCGCCGCCGCGGCCCCCCGAUGCGGCCGCGAGGAGCCCGGGGCGCGCGGCCGAUCGCAGGUCUGUCCAACUGGGAAGUGCAUCUCGGGGACGCUUGGGAGCAGUAGUCGACCUCCCCUGCUUUGCCCUUUCCCCCUGCUUAGAGGAAGGUGAGCUCCCUGACCCGCAGCCCCGCUCUGGGGUCCGUAAACAGCAAGAGGACCGCUUGUGUGGUCAGGAAAGCGGGGGUGGCCUCGCCGUCUUCCCUGGUGUCGGGGACUGUCGGGGGCCUCCCUGUACCCGGCAGUGUUCAGUGACCCCACGCAAUCGGAGCCCGCUUGCUGGCACGGCGGCCGCGGGGCCCCAUCCUUCUGCUCCCCUCCCCGCCGACUUCUGUGUGGACAGGUGUGUGCUUCUGGCCGCUGCAAGGUCCAGCUGGCAGGAGGGCUCCAACUUGUCAUCACAGAAAUAAAAUUUGUCACCUCCGUGUUCCCCACCUCUGUCCUUUCAUGUUUAACCAGCAUUCAGAAUGUUUACAAACAUGUCAGGGGUCCUGUUUUUCUUUCCUAAUUAAUUCAGAAAAGGAGCAGAAGACGUCGCUAAUGACAUAAAAGAGAAAGGGACAGAUAGCGCUGGGAGCGGCUUCUUUGUUUUUCAGUUGGAAACGGCAGUUGAACGAAUAUGGGCAUCUGGUAAUUGGAGAAAUUACUUGGGGCCUCUCAGUGCCUCGGUGAUUCCUGGGCUAGUCCUGGACUGAUCAGAAUUUAUGAACAGGUCUAAACUGACCAAAUCCGGUGGCAAACUUUCCUGCUCAUAAAUGAACGGACCGUGGUACUUCACUCUCCCGUGCACGAGGGAGAAUAAAAAUUUCCACACAUAUUGACUUUUUAAUUAUUUGAACUGUAUUCUUUUUAGCCCUAUUUCUGAAAUCCUUUUCUCUGAGGACAUUGAACCCAAUUUAACCUUUGUCUUGAUGAUUCACAGUCAUCUUUCUAAACAUCUAGAACUGUGUACUUUAGUGAUUCCAGAAUCUUAACAACCUCAAGGGUGCAGUGUUUUAAUUAAAGGAGCAUUUCCUCUGUUCUUUGUUAUCGAAAAGGCUAAAAUAAUAGACGUGGAAUAAUGGAAACCGUUCUAAACAUAGAAUCAAAACACUGGCUCUAAUUUAAUUGUUAAUUAGCUGUUUGACUUUUAGCAAGUCUCGCAACCUCUCUGAGAAUAUACUUCUUCAUCUGUAAAAACAGGAUAUUGGACCGUAAUAUUCCCAAGAUUGUUUAGAUUUCUAAACUUUUGUAAUUUUACAACGGAGGACCAUGAUAUUCUCUAACGCCAGUCGUCCGGAAGGGCUAUUGAGGUUGGGAUUAUUUGUUUCUUUAAGAUAUAGUCCAAGACUGCCAAGAUUUUUCUAGCUAUUGUGUUGGCUUUGAAACUUUCUUCUAUUCCAUGGUUUGCAAACUGUAGCCUGUGGGCCAAGUUUGACCUGCCACCUGUUUCUGUAAAUAAGAUUUUAUUGGAACUCAGCCACGCUCCUCCGUUCACACAUUGGUCUAUGGCUUAUUCUGAGCUACACGGGUGAAGCUGAGUUGUCACAACAGAGAAAGUGUGAUCUGUGAUCCUAAAAUAUUUACUCUCCGAUCUUCAUAGGACAAGUUUGCCAACCUCUGCUCGGUUCUUUUUUUUCAUAACUCUGUCACUUUUCACUGUGAUCACUCUCUCCUUCCGGGAAUCCGUGUUAAUCUACUGUAUCUACCCGGCUAGAGCUUAAGAAACCAGACCAGACAACUGGUUAGAGUCGUGUUCAAAGUAAGAGUCAGUCAGUUCUGGAUGAAAGUCCAAGGGGACAGCAUGCACCGAGUGUGCCGAGUGGCCACGGAGAGGUCACUGGAGAGCUGCAUGCUGCAGCCCAUGGGGUCGCAAAGGGCCGACUCUGUGUGAGUUGACAUGAUUUAGCAACUGAGCACACCACACAAUCCAGGUGGCUAAAGUCGUUCCCCAAUUUGCAAUUUCUAGAAACAGUUGCUUUUAGGUUGCUGACUGUGAUGAUGGAUUGGCCAUAAAGUCUGCUUCCUCCGAGGACGUGUCACUUCAUGUGUAUGACAUCUCCUAUCACGGUGAGGCUCAGUACCAGAGUCGUGAACUCAAGUUGAGAUCAAAAGACCUGGGUUUAGACCCUCCUCAGCCAUCCCAGGAGAAGGCGAUGGCACCCCACUCCAGUACUCUUGCCUGGAAAAUUCAUGGAUGGAGGAGCCUGGUGGGCUGCAGUCCAUGAGGUCGCUGAGGGUCGGACAUGACUGAGCGACUUCACUUUCACUUUUCACUUUCAUCUAUUGGAGAAAGAAAUGGCAACCCACUCCAGUGUUCUUGCCUGGAGAAUCCCAGGGACGGGGAAGCCUGGUGGGCUGCCGUCUCUGGGGUCGCACAGAGUCGGACACGACUGAAUCGACUUAGCUGCAGCAGCAGCCAUCCCGUGACUGUACGAUCUUGGGCCAUCGGUCCCUUUACAAGCCCGUUUCUUUGUCUGUAAAAUGGGGACGACAUUCACUCUACAUCGUGGGACGAGCUGCAGGGGCUCUGUGUUUCAGCUCCUCCCCCAGCUGUGCUUUCCCCCGCUUGGGUGGAGCAGGUGUGAAGCCUAGACCAAAUUGUAGAAUGUGAAAUGGGCCGCAGCCAUGGUGGGCAAGAUCACUGCGCCUUAGAAAUUACCGGGUGACUCCAAGUGUUUCACCUCAUUCUCACGCCCUGGUGAGUAAUCCUUCAGGUUGCUGGAUAGGCUGAGCUCCUGAUAAAGUCAAAUUUUGAUUCCCUGCUAGGCCCUUGUUCCUGUGACUCGUUCGAUGGUUGGUAAAGUGAAGGAGUUGGGGUGAGGGGAAGAGGCAGACCUUCCUGGGUCCCAAGUUGUAAUAGCAUCCACCCCAGUGGUGGGGCUAGUGGUAAAGAACCUGCCUGCCAGUGCAGGUAGACGUAAGAGACACGGGUUCGACCCCUGGGUUGGGAGGAUCCCCUGGAGGAGGGCACGGCAGCCCGCUCCGGUAUUCUUGCCUGGAGAAUCCUGUGGACAGAGGAGCCUGGCAGGCGGCAGCCCGUGGGGUCACACAGAGUCUGGCCCGACUGCAGAGACUCAGCGCACGAGCGCAGCUCCUGUCCGCUGCUGGUGAUGGUGCUGCCCUGUGGGUGUGAGUCUGAGGCUGUGUGUGUGCUGUAUGGGCUCAGUUGUGUCCCCAGCUCUUUGUGACCCUGUGGACUGCAGCCUGCCAGACUCCCCUGCCCGUGGCGUUUUCCAGGGAAGAAUACGAGAGUGGUUGUCAUUCCCUUCUCCAGGGACUCUUCUGGACCCAGAGAUGGAACCUGUGUCUUCCACGUUGACCUGCCUUGGCAGGCGGGCUCUUCACCACUGUGCCACCUGGGAAGCCAUGUCGGCACAGAUGCUACGUGGAUAACUGCCUCCUUCUGUGGUCUGUAAGUGUCUUACAGGCGGGUACUGUGUUUUAAAUUUUAGCUCUGAACCUCCAUUGACUCGAACACUAUCUGCCUCGACAUACGUAUGUUGAAUUGAUUUGUCAUGACCAGGGUUUCCUGGCAGCACCAAGGUUUCUUGGAGGUUGACUCUCUAUGUUUACUGCGUGUCUAGAGAGUAGCCACGCGUCUGUAAAAUGCUCAGUGUCAGAACACAGCCAUCUGGUGGAGGAAUUCCCUUCCCCGAGGAGACAGAGGGCUU
rnacentral:lncRNA from 1 species